AGGGACAAAAACAGUAGCAGACUGGAAAUUUACACGUCUCCAGACCAACACCCUCAUUUAUCUGUCCACAGUUGAGCUGACAGGUGAAUCUGUACAAACCCUGAGAGCAGGAUUUGAAGUCUGGAUAUCUUUCCUUCAUUUAGCUAACAAAAGGUUUUUAUUGUUCCUUUCAGAGUGAUCAAAUAGAGGAAAAGACAGCAUGUGUAACACAGGUUUACUAAACUAGGCCAUUACAGUGAAGCCUAGCUAAUCACACAUAAGCUCCCCCUAGAGGCUAAAUCUAUUUACUACCUCAGACUACAUCACCCAACUUCCACACAUAACUCCAGUUGACUUAGAAUACCCAAACACAAAAAUGCACGACUAAAACACUUAGAAACAAUACACUGAGAAAGAAAACUACAAUCCUUUUUUUUUUUUUCUCUCUCUCUCUCUCUUAGUGGAUGCAGGUGGUUUUUGUGCCCAGUACUCAGAAGGCAAAUUUCUGGAUAUGACGGGUUUAUUUAUCAUGGCCGAGGAGGCCGCCUUUGACCAUGUGUGAAAAGACUCCCUGGAACCUGGGCUUUUUUCUGUUAAUUUAUUUAUAAAUGUCUGGUGAAUCUGCUGGACUCAAUUGAACUUCACCUGCUGGCUAAGGGGGCGGAGACUAUAAAUAGUCUGCUCCCCUGGCAGUUCACCUUUUUCCACUCCCUGCCAGUACUCCACCAUAUCCUGAAGUGUGCGUAUUCCAGUUAAUGUGGGUGGUCAAUUCAAUUCAUCCUUUUGCUUGUUUAAUUUGUAUGCCUUUUGUGAUGCCUUUUUGUGACAUGUGCUAUGUUGACCAAUUCCUUUGUUCUCAAACAUGUGCCAGGAGCCAUGUAGAAUUGUUUGUUGUUUGAUUGACCACUCCGUUAUUUAAUUUAAUUGUAUUAUUUCUUUGUUUAUGUUUUUGAUGCAGCACACAGAAUAAAUAUCAAGCUUACAAAAAGGAAAUAAAACUGCUGGUGUUACAUCCAACCUGCCUUCUCCCUUGCAUCAUUUUCUCACUCCACUCCUUGCCGUUCGGGUCUUCUGACCGAGACUCUGUCUGCUCACCCAACAUUCACUCCCCCCAAACCACAUCACCCUUACAGUUCCUUCAAUGUGGAGAAGAUUGAGCUUCCGGUAUCUUUCGAGCUGUAUGAUGAGGAUGGCGAUCAUAGGCUUAAGCUGAUAGAGUGUGAAUGGCUGGUCAAAAACAUCACCAUGAACCGACCAUUGUAAGCGUGCAUUAAUAAAAUACACAAAGAUGAA